rnacentral:sRNA from 2 species
CUUGUCAUAUCGCUGAGUCUCCGAAUUUAAUCGGAGAGCGGGGGACCCAUUUUUAGGGGUGAAUCUGGAUUUUCCAGUAGGGCUAUCCCUGGCCCGAAUCCGUCAGCUAACCUCGUAAGCGUGUAAGGGAGACCAG